CGGGCUGUAAGUUAUUUACUAAACUAUCAGACUUCAAAUCUGAAAAUACCUAAUAGGUCAGCUUGA
rnacentral:tRNA from 1 species